CUCCGCUAACGCGGAGCUAAUACCGCAUAUGUUCGCUCAUUCGGUUGGGCGAGUAAAGCAGCGAUGCGCUUAGGGAUGGGCCUGCGGCGGAUUAGGUAGUUGGUGGGGUAACGGCCUACCAAGCCGAUGAUCCGUAGGGGGCGUGAGAGCGUGGCCCCCCACACUGGCACUGAGACACGGGCCAGACUCCUACGGGAGGCAGCAGUGAGGAAUAUUGCACAAUGGGCGCAAGCCUGAUGCAGCAACGCCGCGUGAGGGACGAAGGCCUUCGGGUUGUAAACCUCUUUUCUGAGGGACGAGGAAGGACGGUACCUCAGGAAUAAGUCUCGGCUAACUACGUGCCAGCAGCCGCGGUAAAACGUAGGAGGCGAGCGUUAUCCGGAUUUACUGGGCGUAAAGCGCGCGCAGGUGGCUUCGUGAGUCGGACAUGAAAGCUCCUGGCUUAACUGGGAGAGGCUGUUCGAUACUGCGGGGCUUGAGGUUGGGAGAGGGACGCGGAAUUCCCGGUGUAGUGGUGGAAUGCGUAGAUAUCGGGAGGAACACCAGUGGCGCAAGCGGCGUCCUGGCCCACACCUGACGCUGAGGUGCGAAAGCGUGGGUAGCAAACAGGAUUAGAUACCCUGGUAGUCCACGCUGUAAACGAUGUCAACUGGGUGUCGGUAGUUUUACACUAUCGGUGCCGAAGCUAACGCG
rnacentral:rRNA from 1 species